UACGUAGGUGGCAAGCGUUGUCCGGAUUUACUGGGCGUAAAGAGCGCGCAGGCGGUCGUUCAAGUCGCGUGUGAAAGCCCCCGGCUCAACUGGGGAGGGUCACGCGAUACUGAUCGACUCGAAGGCAGGAGAGGGUAGUGGAAUUCCCGGUGUAGUGGUGAAAUGCGCAGAUAUCAGGAGGAACACCAAUGGCGAAGGCAGCUCGCUGGCCCGAUACUGACGCUGAGGUGCGAAAGCGUGGGGAGCAAACAGG
rnacentral:rRNA from 1 species